GUCAGCAUCCAUAGUGUACCGAGAUGAGCCAUGCCAGGGGUAGGGGGAGAGGACGAUUUGUGGUACAUCAUGAGGAGAUUUUCAUUAGAGAUUACCUACUCAAAUGUAACUUGCUAAUUGUAAAGUAACCAACCUCGUGAAUGUAAUUGAACUAAUAUGUACUUUUCUUUCUACUUAGCUCCAACAUAUCCCUCAACACAGUGGAAAGGUCACAGUUAUAUAGAGAAUUGGUUAAGGUGAUCAGACACCCAAGGUGAGGAGUAUGCAGUACAAAGCAGUAACAAUAAAAGUGUGCACAUUGGUAUUAUCUAACACCUUAGAUAAAAAUUAUAUUAAAAUGUGUAAAUCCACACAAUAUUACUUCUAGAACAGGAACUCCGUAGUCUCCACUCACCAAUAACCUAAUCAUAGCAGCAAGCGACAUGUAAAAAAAAUCAAGCAUGCUCAGAUUACACAAUGUGUAUUAUGUC